rnacentral:tRNA from 1 species
ACAAUGGUGAUUUAGUGGUAGAAUUCUCACCUUCCGUGCAGGAGACCAGGGUUUGAUUCCCAGCCAAUGCA